rnacentral:rRNA from 1 species
CCUACGGGAGGCAGCAGUGGGGAAUAUUGCACAAUGGGCGGAAGCCUGAUGCAGCGACGCCGCGUGAGGGAUGAAGGCCUUCGGGUUGUAAACCUCUUUCAGCAGGGACGAAGCGUGAGUGACGGUACCUGCAGAAGAAGCACCGGCUAACUACGUGCCAGCAGCCGCGGUAAUACGUAGGGUGCGAGCGUUGUCCGGAAUUACUGGGCGUAAAGAGUUCGUAGGCGGUUUGUCGCGUCGUUUGUGAAAACCCGGGGCUCAACUUCGGGCUUGCAGGCGAUACGGGCAGACUUGAGUGUUUCAGGGGAGACUGGAAUUCCUGGUGUAGCGGUGAAAUGCGCAGAUAUCAGGAGGAACACCGGUGGCGAAGGCGGGUCUCUGGGAAACAACUGACGCUGAGGAACGAAAGCGUGGGUAGCAAACAGGAUUAGAUACCCUGGUAGUCCACGCCGUAAACGGUGGGCNNUAGGUGUGGGUUCCUUCCACGGGAUCUGUGCCGUAGCUAACGCAUUAAGCGCCCC